rnacentral:rRNA from 1 species
ACAGAGGUCUCAAGCGUUGUUCGGAUUCAUUGGGCGUAAAGGGUGCGUAGGUGGCAUGGUAAGUCGGAUGUGAAAUCCCGGGGCUCAACCCCGGAACUGCAUUCGAUACUGCUGCGCUAGAGUACUGGAGAGGAGAUUGGAAUUUACGGUGUAGCAGUGAAAUGCGUAGAUAUCGUAAGGAAGACCUGUGGCGAAGGCGGAUCUCUGGACAGUUACUGACGCUGAGACGCGAAAGCGUGGGGAGCAAACAGGA